UCCUGGCUCGGCCUCCUGAGCCGCUGGGAUUACAGGUGUGCACCACAGUGCUGGGCCUGGGGUUUCUUCUUCCUCCGAGAUCUUUCUCUUGUCCACCUGGUGGGUUCCCAGUUACCCCUCCACCCACAGCUCAAACCUCCCACCUUCACUAUGCACUCCAGUGAGUUAGUCCCCCUCCAUGCUCCUCACCUUUUUAGUGAUCACAAAGUUGCCUCCUUGAAAGUUCUUGGUCUUUCUGUCCAGCUCCUCAUGACCAUGCAGAUGGCCUCCUUCAUCCUGUAUCACCAGCACCUACUGCAGUGAAUCAUUAGUGGCUCCAGACGGUGAUUAGAGCCAGCUCAGCUCAGCAGGACCCUGAGCUGGCCGGUGCCCAUAGGGUCAUGGUUGGUGGCUCCCCCAGGCCCAGCACUGGCUGUCCCCACAAAGAGCCUCUGGACCUUGCCCCUUGGCCCCAUGCCAGGACUUAUCCCCCUCUGGCACCCCCUGCCCCAGCUGUCAGCUGCCAACCUGAGGUCUGCUUCCUCCGUCUUCCUUCCUGUCUUGGCCUCUCUGCUCACAGCCCUGAACAUACACAAGACUAUACAGCUUCAAGGACACAACCUAGCGCUGUCCCAGAAUGGGACCAUCCCCACCUUCCCACGUCCCUGAGCCCUGAGAGCACAUCAUGAUGUAGGAGAGCCAGGGCUUCAGGGUGUCAGGAUGACCAGGCUGGAAUGCAUGUCCUGGCGGUCCCACCAUCAAAGGCAAACAUAAAUAUUAGCCAGGACACAGCCCACCCGAGAGCUUCCCCUCCCUCCCCUCCACCUGGUCAGAUGCACAGG
rnacentral:lncRNA from 1 species